rnacentral:rRNA from 1 species
GGUGGUUUGUCGCGUUGUUCGUGAAAACUCACAGCUUAACUGUGGGCGUGCGGGCGAUACGGGCAGACUGGAGUACUGCAGGGGAGACUGGAAUUCCUGGUGUAGCGGUGGAAUGCGCAGAUAUCAGGAGGAACACCGGUGGCGAAGGCGGGUCUCUGGGCAGUAACUGACGCUGAGGAGCGAAAGCGUGGGGAGCGAACAGGAUUAGAUACCCUGGUAGUCCACGCCGUAAACGGUGGGUACUAGGUGUGGGUUUCCUUCCUUGGGAUCCGUGCCGUAGCUAACGCAUUAAGUACCCCGCCUGGGGAGUACGGCCGCAAGGCUAAAACUCAAAGAAAUUGACGGGGGCCCGCACAAGCGGCGGAGCAUGUGGAUUAAUUCGAUGCAACGCGAAGAACCUUACCUGGGUUUGACAUGCACAGGACGCCGGCAGAGAUGUCGGUUCCCUUGUGGCCUGUGUGCAGGUGGUGCAU